CGUCAAGCUAAAUGUCUUGGUGAUGGAAUAUUGAUUUUCAUGGGAGUGUGCAUGUGCUACAUUUCAAUUUAGAUUAUGUGAAAAAUUGGCUCCAAUUUGGAUACAGGUGCCCUGAGAACAGAAUCUAUUUUCUGGAGAAGAAUCCAAAGUAUAGAGAGCUAUAAAAUCAGUGGGAGUGCAUUGUUUUGGUGAAUGUUUGAGGUAUUGAUGUGUUUUGUGGUUUCAGGAUCUUCAGGAUGAGCAAGUUUCAAAAAUCGGCUGUCACUACACUGUCCUGUUUCCCAAAACAAGCUCAUCUGAAGAGGGAAGGGGCUGAAGAAAUGUGA
rnacentral:lncRNA from 1 species